rnacentral:rRNA from 1 species
UACAGAGACUGCAAGCGUUAUUCGGAUUCACUGGGCGUAAAGGGCGCGUAGGCGGCCGUGUGUGUCAGGUGUGAAAGCCCGGGGCUUAACCCCGGAAUUGCGCCUGAAACUACAUGGCUAGAGCAUUGGAGAGGGUAGCGGAAUUCACGGUGUAGCAGUGAAAUGCGUAGAUAUCGUGAGGAACACCAGAGGCGAAGGCGGCUACCUGGACAAUUGCUGACGCUCAGGCACGAAAGCGUGGGGAGCAAAAGGG